AAACCAACAGGGAUUGCCUUAGUAGCGGCGAGUGAAGCGGCAAAAGCUCAAAUUUGAAAUCUGGUACUUUCAGUGCCCGAGUUGUAAUUUGAAGAAGGUAUCUUUGGGUCUGGCGCUUGUCUAUGUUUCUUGGAACAGAACGUCACAGAGGGUGAGAAUCCCGUGCGAUGAGAUGAUCCAGACCUAUGUAAAGUUCCUUCGACGAGUCGAGUUGUUUGGGAAUGCAGCUCUAAGUGGGUGGUAAAUUCCAUCUAAAGCUAAAUAUUGGCGAGAGACCGAUAGCGAACAAGUACAGUGAUGGAAAGAUGAAAAGAACUUUGAAAAGAGAGUGAAAAAGUACGUGAAAUUGUUGAAAGGGAAGGGCUUGAGAUCAGACUUGGUAUUUUGUAUGUUACUUCUUCGGGGGUGGCCUCUACAGUUUAUCGGGCCAGCAUCAGUUUGGACGGUAGGACAAUUGCGGUGGAAUGUGGCACGGCUUCGGUUGUGUGUUAUAGCCACUGUCGAUACUGCCAGUCUAGACUGAGGACUGCGGUUUUAUUACCUAGGAUGUUGGCAUAAUGAUCUUAAGUCGC
rnacentral:rRNA from 1 species